GGGAAGAGUUCUCUUUUCUUCUUAACGGCCCGUCACCCUGAAAUCGGUUUGUCCGGAGCUAGGGUUUAAUGGCCGGUAGAGUCCCACACCUUUGUGGGAUCCGGUGCGCCCCCGACGUCCCUUGAAAAUUCGCUGGAAGGAAUAGUUUUCACGCCAGGUCGUACUCAUAACCGCAGCAGGUCUCCAAGGUGAAAAGCCUCUAGUUGAUAGAACAAUGUAGAUAAGGGAAGUCGGCAAAAUAGAUC
rnacentral:rRNA from 14 species